UAAAAAUUGGCCCUGGGACACGUGU
rnacentral:piRNA from 1 species